AACGAACGCUGGCGGCAUGCCUAACACAUGCAAGUCGAACGGGAUCCUAGCUUGCUAGGUGAGAGUGGCGGACGGGUGAGUAACACGUGGGAAUCUGCCUUUUGGUUCGGGAUAACCGCGGGAAACUGCGGCUAAUACCGAAUGCCCUCGAGAGAGGAAAGAUUUAUCGCCAGAAGAGGAGCCCGCGUCCGAUUAGGUAGUUGGUGGGGUAAAGGCCUACCAAGCCGACGAUCGGUAGCUGGUCUGAGAGGAUGAUCAGCCACACUGGGACUGAGAUACGGCCCAGACUCCUACGGGAGGCAGCAGUGGGGAAUAUUGGACAAUGGGGCAACCCGUGAUCCAGCAAUGCCGCGUGAGUGAUGAA
rnacentral:rRNA from 1 species